GAUUGCGGGGAGCCCGGACCCGCCGACGCCGUCGAGGCGGGUUGGGGAGGGGGCCAUCGGGCUGCCCUGAACAGCGCCCCAAAAGAGAGAAAGGGGGACGGGACGGCCUCCGGGCGCCCCUCGAUCCUUCCUCGCGGGAAAUCCGACGGCCCUUCGCUGCAGAAAGUCCGUUUUGCGUAAGGUGGGGAGACGGACGCGCGAAGGAAGCCAUCUUGCCUCGCCCUGGGCUCCCUCGGAAGGAUCGCGGGGGUCUCCUUUGCUCGCUAGAGGAGUCUCGGGGGGCGCGAGGUGGUGGUCGCUCUUUGGGCUGGUGGGGGUUGGAUGCAGGGGCCACCAUUAGAUGCCUUCCCGGGGGGGGGUGCAAAAAGCCAGAGGUUUGUGUGCUGGGAAAAGCCAGAGCAGCGCGUCUCCUUUUAUUUUCCUGCCCAGGCAAAUGCGCCAUGGCGAGGUCGCCUUUGCGUCUUGAGAAUCCUUUAUAUAUAUGCGUCUUUUUAGAAACGAAGGAGUCGAGGGGUUGUUCUUGUUCCUUGCAAAUUUCCGCAGGUAAGUAUGCGUCCGAUUUAUUGUCUCUUCGCCUUCCUCCCUCGCCCCUCCAAAUACUGUUCUCUGCACUCCGACCUGUUUUUCCAUCCCUCAUAUUCGUCCCGCCACCCGCACCUCCGAUUAUACACCACCAACAAUGUCUUAUUGUUUAACAAGCUCUCCUUUGGGUAUCGUCUGUGGUGCUAAAACGCCACGUCGAGCUGCAAUUUUCACUGUGCACGGACAAACCACGCCGCCUCCCUCGCUGACUCGCAUCUUUUUUAAUUCUGUGUUGAGGAUUGGUUCCAUUCUACAGAUAAGCAACUGAGGAUGACUGACUAGCUUUCUGCCAAAGAGGGGGCUUGUGGGCUUGACGGGAGUUUUCCUAAAAUUGCCCCCUCCAUUUCCCGUCUGUUUCCCUUCCCCAGCAUCCCUUCCAUGGCAAUGUUAAUAAAAAAUGCGCGUUGCAUUAGCUUCCGUGGCCCCACGACUGGUUAUUAUUUCCAUUAAUUGAUGCCACGACUGGCGCUCUGCAGGUUAACUAGAAGCAAGACCCCGGAUCAUCUGCCCCGAGGACCUUACAAUCUGAACAAUCACCAUGAAAGAGGAGUGUAAAAAGACGGGGUGACUUUUGGGGGGGGGUCUGCUUUCAGCGCCUUUGCACCUUUUAGCUUGUGGCGGCUACAAGGUGGAAAGAGGAGCUGUUCAUUUUUGGGGUGCCGGCUUUGAAUGUGGGUAGCCAGGCGUUGAACCUCUGCCCGGGCAGCCGCGGCGCGCUCCCCGGGCAAAGCUGCGCGCUCUCGCCCCCGCCAUUUCUGCUGGUUUAACGUGAAGCUGGAAGAGAAGCGGGUGGGGUAAACGUCGAGCAAACACCAGCAUUGUUUUCGGGUGGCGAAGCCACGAGGCUUGCUAAGCGCAUUGUCGGGUGAUCGGGUUCCCAAGAGUCCCAUUUUUAGCCCGGAAUGCGGCAUCGUGAGAGCGCAGCAUAGCGAGCAGAAGAGGAACCAUUUUGAAACCAAACGUCCCCUUUUCGUUGUUGUUGCUUAGCGUAGAUUUUACAGACGGGGGCUUCAAGCGAGGGAGAGGGGAAGCAGGCCGGUUUUCAGUCGCGAAAACAGCCCUCCGGAUACAUCCCGGGUCAAAACGCAGGGGUGGGUUCAGACGCGCUUAGAGCAGCGCGCCAUGGAAAGCCUUUCCAAAUAACCAGCGAUUGCAUGGGCUCUCCUGCAAUUGUGGCUUUUUAAGUCUGGGUUCACCCCCCGAAUACUCCAGAUCUCAAUUUUUUAGGCUGGUCUUCGAAACGUGCUUAGGGAGGAAGCCCCAUGGAAGCCGACGAUAUUUACUUCGGCGUAAGCCCGUUUACCCUUGCGCUGCUUUUAUUUGGAAUGUGUCGCUUUGGAAAGGAAGCGCGCGUGGGAAGCGCUUUAAAAUCGAGCUUUUGCAAGUUGUUAUUCCCAUGGAAAAAGGGGAUCUAUUUGAGCUUCUGGAAAAGACAGAAAGCGGGUCGUGCGUAACAGUCCCCGCUGCGCAUUCUUCCAAAGGUUUCAGCUGUCCCCUGUAGCGCGAAGGGGCUACGACCGCUGGGUGCGCACUUAUUAAAACCAAAUUAAUGUCAUUUGUUUUCAUUCGUGUUGUACUCCCGUUGCCAAACCAGGCUGGCUUUCAGCACAGAGUGCGCGCAUCCCUAAAAAGGACCCCGGAAAGUGUAGUUUGCGCCGCGCUACAACUCCCAGCGCCCUCGGCGCACUAGAGAUCCCAGGAUUCUUUGAUGCGGGAGGGGACGUGCUUUGAGUGUCCGGGGGUCAAACAGCUUGAACGGGAGUUAGCAAGCGGGGAGCUGCCCGCCCCACUUUACCCCUCCUGUUCCCACCGCAACAGCCACCCCAGCAAGGAACCUGGAGUCGCACCCCGGCCCGUGGGGUGGGGCGUGGCGAGGUUAUUUUCCAGCAGCGGAGGCUCGGCGGGGCUGCCUUCUGCAAGGAAACAAAAGAGGCACGUAUGGCGUAAUGGAAAAAUACAUGGGGGGGUGGAGAGAGGGUUGUACCAUCGCGGCUCGACGGGAGGGAGGGAAGGGAGAGGCUGGCCCAGGGCCUGCCGUCCAAGUUUCGAGGGGGAGGCCCGGCGAGGCGCGAGGAAUGCGCUCCUCUCCUUCCCCUCCUCCCGCAGCUCAGCCCCCUGCAAGCGGCGUUCACAGCUGCGCUGGGAGGCGCGUGCACGAAUAAAUAGGUUCGGGGGCGGAGGUUGCAGCUGCUUGCUGGGAGCGCGCGCGUUGGCUUCGUGGAGGAAUCCACCCGCCGGUUGUGCGGAGGGAAGAUGCGCAGAGGGAGAUAUGGAGCUGGCAAUCCCCACCGCACGUUAGGAUUUACGGGGUGGGGGCAGGCAAGCACCCCAGAAAGUAGGAUCCAGAUUUUCAGCCCCGCAGGCGUCGCUGGGGUGGCCCUGGUGGUUUGGAGCGGCUCCGCUCUCCAAUCCUGCCACCUCGGUUGUCCCAUCUGUAAAAUGGGACCAAAAGAGAAGGCGACUUCAGAGAGCUUUGAUCAGGGAUCUCACCAGAGACCCAACUCUGCAAGCCAACUGAUCCACUUCUUCCACCAAACAGCAAAUCCACCGGGUGCAUUUGCUCAAAUGAAUCUAAGCCAAUUUCACUAUCACAGCUGCCUAUGAAAGCCCUUAAAAUUGGUGCUGUUGGCUGGUUGCCUGGGUCCUCUGUGUGUGUGUGUGUGUGUUUUGGAAAGUGAUCUCUAGAUAUGACCAAUCCUGCCAGGACGCUCAUGACUACUGAUGGACCAAUGCUCUCCGUAUCAGGGACUUCAUGUGUUUGAUGGACAGGAGGCGGAUUUACACCAUAUCUACAAGAUCAAGUGCAGGAUUAAGGGUCCAGAUCAAGGGAAGUCAUAUUCCUGCUCUAUUCUGCCUUGGUCUGACCCCGCUUGGAGUCCUGAGAACAGUUCUGGGCACCCCAGCGGGAGAAGGAGAUGGACAAGGCACAGAUGGACAAGCAGAGGAGGGCAGCCAAGAUGAUGAAGGAAACCAAGCCUGAUGAGGAACAGUUGAAGGAGUUGGGUAUGUUU